rnacentral:rRNA from 1 species
GACGAACGCUGGCGGCGUGCUUAAUACAUGCAAGUCGAACGGAGACAGUAGCAAUAUUGUCUUAGUGGCGAACGGGUGAGUAACGCGUUGGUGACCUGCCCCGAAGAGGGGGAUAACAGUCCGAAAGGAUUGCUAAUACCCCAUGUGGUCAUUUGGAUUAGAUGCCUUAUGACUAAACGGAUUUAUUCGCUUCGGGAGGGGCCUGCGUCCCAUCAGCUAGUUGGUAAGGUAAUGGCUUACCAAGGCGAUGACGGGUAGGGGACCUGAGAGGGUGGCCCCCCACAAUGGAACUGAAACACGGUCCAUACACCUACGGGUGGCAGCAGUAGGGAAUAUUGGUAAUGUGCGAAAGCGCGAACCAGCAACGCCGCGUGCGCGAUGAAGGCCUUCGGGUCGUAAAGCGCUUUUUAUGGGGAUGAGGAAGGACAGUACUCAUAGAAUAAGCCUCGGCUAACUACGUGCCAGCCGCCGCGGUAAUAC